rnacentral:rRNA from 1 species
CCUACGGGUGGCAGCAGUGAGGAAUAUUGGUCAAUGGUCGGGAGACUGAACCAGCCAAGUCGCGUGAGGGAGGAAGGUACAGAGUAUCGUAAACCUCUUUUGUCAGGGAACAAAGGCGGGGACGUGUCCCCGGAUGAGUGUACCUGAAGAAAAAGCAUAGGCUAACUCCGUGCCAGCAGCCGCGGUAAUACGGAGGCUGCGAGCGUUAUCCGGAUUUAUUGGGUUUAAAGGGUGCGCGGGCGGUCUGUUAAGUCAGCGGGCAAAGCCCGGGGCUCAACCCCGUACUGCCGUUGACACUGGAUCCCUUGAGUGCGCGAGAGGUAUGCGGAAUGCGUGGUGUAGCGGUGAAAUGCAUAGAUAGCACGCAGAACUCCGAUUGCGAAGGCAGCAUACCGGCGCGCAACGGACGCUCAUGCACGAAAGCGUGGGUAUCGAACAGGAUUAGAAACCCUUGUAGUC